rnacentral:rRNA from 1 species
UACAGAGGGUGCGAGCGUUAAUCGGAAUUACUGGGCGUAAAGCGUGCGUAGACGGUUAUUUAAGUCGGAUGUGAAAGCCCCGGGCUCAACCUGGGAAUUGCAUUCGAGACUGAAUAGCUAGGGUGCGGUAGAGGGAAGCGGAAUUUCCGGUGUAGCGGUGAAAUGCGUAGAUAUCGGAAGGAACAUCAGUGGCGAAAGCGGAUUCCUGGACCAGCACCGACGUUCAGGCACGAAAGCGUGGGGAGCAAACAGG